rnacentral:rRNA from 1 species
AAACUCAAAGGAAUUGACGGGGACCCGCACAAGCGGUGGAUGAUGUGGAUUAAUUCGAUGCAACGCGAAAAACCUUACCUACCCUUGACAUGUCACUAACGAAGUAGAGAUACAUUAGGUGCUCGUAAGAGAAAGUGAACACAGGUGCUGCAUGGCUGUCGUCAGCUCGUGUCGUGAGAUGUUGGGUUAAGUCCCGCAACGAGCGCAACCCUUGUCUUUAGUUGCUACGCAAGAGCACUCUAAAGAGACUGCCGGUGACAAACCGGAGGAAGGUGGGGAUGACGUCAAGUCCUCAUGGCCCUUAUGGGUAGGGCUUCACACGUCAUACAAUGGUGCAUACAGAGGGUUGCCAACCCGCGAGGGGGAGCUAAUCUCAGAAAAUGCAUCGUAGUCCGGAUCGUAGUCUGCAACUCGACUACGUGAAGCUGGAAUCGCUAGUAAUCGCGGAUCAGAAUGUCGCGGUGAAUACGUUCCCGGGUCUUGUACACACCGCCCGUCAUACCAUGGGAGUGGGUUUUGCCAGAAGCCGUUAGCCUAACCGCAAGGAGGGCGACUGCCACGGCAGGGUUCAUGACUGGGGUAAA